UACAGAGGUCCCAAGCGUUGUUCGGAUUCACUGGGCGUAAAGGGUGCGUAGGCGGUCGGGUAAGUCUGACGUGAAAUCUUCAAGCUUAACUUGGAAACUGCGUCGGAUACUAUUCGGCUAGAGGAAUGGAGGGGAGACUGGAAUACUUGGUGUAGCAGUGAAAUGCGUAGAUAUCAAGUGGAACACCAGUGGCAAAGGCGAGUCUCUGGACAUUUCCUGACGCUGAGGCACGAAAGCCAGGGGAGCAAACGGG
rnacentral:rRNA from 1 species